GAGCUACAUAACAAAUGUGACUUCAAAUUUUAUAGUUUGAUAUGUGUGUACUUAAAAUUUUUAUGACUUUAUACACUAUAAAUGAACAUGUACUCUAGUUUAAUACCCACUAUGAUAUGAUCUGUCGAUCUGAAAACCCUGUCACUGAACACUCAUGAUGUGUUAUUCUGAUACCUCAAAAAUGGGUCCCUUCCAGUGAGGUCCUAUAACAAGAAAUCCUGUGAGAGUUCCACAAUAAAAAGUCUAACAAUCAGUACUAUGCCUAGAACUGCUGGAAAGCCCCCCUGUCUCUUAUUAUGUCAUCAUACUGUCGGUGUUCCAUUGGCUACCCAAAAGUUCUAUUUAAGGGGUGAAAAACACUCAAAAAUGUAAAUUACAUUAAAAUGUUCUGAGUAUCAAUAAUUUUAUACACAAACUAUUACAAAUCAUACCUGGGGCUCCUUUCAAGGUUGGGUAGAUUGUUACAGACUUUUAGAAAAAUGAUCAUCUCUGUAUGUGAAUAUGUGUAUGACAAAGGAAAACAGAUUUUUCAGGGAAUACGUACUUCCUUACUAAUACUUCCUUACUAAUUUUUCUGUUGACCAAAUAGUCUGUGCUUCUUUGGGAUGCUUACGGUUCUUUGGUAAAAAUAUGGUUAUUGAUGAUGUUAAUUUUUAAAAUAUCUAUUUCUGCAUCACGGCAAUAUUUCCUUCACUUCUGUGUUCCUUAUAUGCCUAAUGUGGGCUCCAGACCAGUUGCCUGUUAUAGUCUCUGCCUUUUUAUUUUAAAAUGUUGAUAAUUUAUAAACAUAAACGUUUAUACUGAAGUUCCUCCUCUUUUUGCCCUUGGUAGAAUGAGGUUUCUCGGUCAGAUGACUCCUCAGGGGUAAUGUAUACUUUUUCCAAUAAAAUGGGUCAAGUAAAAUUUUCUCAUCUUCAGUCUGCCUCUGUUUUUAGUUGUUGGGUAGAACCAGAAACAUAACCAGUAAGUCCUCCCUCACCUCUCUAAACUCUCUCUCGGGGGCUUACAUAAAUGUGGAUAACAAAGAGAUUGGCUAAACUCCUGAUUUUUCUAGAAGACAGCAUUCCAGCCCAGCAUGGUCCUUGCAAACUAAAAACCCGUUGAUCAAUACUUUGCAAAUUGUUAAGCAAAGCACCAAGACUGUGCUUCUCAACCUCAGCAAACUUCUAAUGGCUCGUUUCCUCGGUAAGUAAUGGGCACAGUUUGAAGGAAGGGGUAGGAGAGAAUGUUUUUACUUGCAUAAUUAAUUAAUAUUUGGCAGAGAUAAUUACUUUGCCUCUGAUACGGAGAGUUCAGCCUUUGCAUGACUUAAGAAAAUACUUUGUUAUUACUAUUCUCUGUUCUGGUUUAUUAGAUAGCCUUCCUGCUACUGGAUUGAUUGAAAGCCCAUCAUUUUCUUAACAUGCUUUCUCAGCUGAAGGUAAAUUAAAAAUAACAAUUCAGUGCUAGCAGGAACUUAAAAAACGAAAUCCUACAUUAAUUCCCUUGAUUACUGACGGUCUUGAACGUUUAGCAUUAAGUUCAGUAAUGAUCAGAAGCAGUUCCUAAGCUUCAGUGCGCCGUGUCUUUCCCCUCCUCCCUACGGCUCUCCUUUUUGUUUGUUCCUAGAUAUCCCUAAGAGCUGCUUCCCCAUCCCUGUGCUCUCUUGGGCAAAGGUAUCUUGGCUCUUCUUUUCCUAGACCCUCACUGUUCCAGCUAAUUUUUAGCAUUUUGUCAGGUUCCACAAAAACUGUUGCUUUGCAUUCAUGUCUUGAGGGAAGGUUGGUUUUUACAGCUUAGUGUUGCUGUGGUAGAACCGCGAGCUGGAGGAAUAAUUCCUGUUUUCCCAGCAGUGAUGCUCUUCUGCUCUUUACCAGCUUCACACCAGUUUGCAAGUGUCCAGCAGAAUGAGAACCGGUCUGUGCUCUCACUGGCUAAUGAAAAGGCUCAGUGCGGUUACAGGAGCGCUGACACAUUGUUCCGUAACAGGCAUAGCUAUGGGAGUAUGUUUCCCAGACUGAUUGGAGAUCAGACCCAUCACACCUUAAAUCCCUAAGUCACUGUGCUGUGUAUGUUUUAGUACGUGUGCUCAGACCUUCAAAUAAAAAGCAAACACAAAGCCACACCGGGCCUCUAGUUUGGCAUAUUCUGCGCUUCCCAGGUGAUUCUGUUUCUGUUUUACUGGGCCAGCUACUAGGGGAACCCCAACACAACAUGAUGAUGAAUGCAGAAGACCUCAAAAAGGAGGAUGAAGGGAAGUAGACUAUGCCCCCAAGCAUGUCUCUUUGGCAUAAGAAUUGUUUUUAAGGAACAACAGACACAGGAAAAGCAGGGGUUACCUUUUGUAAUGAAAUUCAUAAGCAAAUCUCCAUUUGAAGGGUGUCUCCCUCUUUGUAUUAAAAGAAGGAGGACCUCAAUCACAAGAAAUGCUUAUGAGGAGGAGCCCAACUUACAUCUGCAUGUCGACCUUACCAUACAUUUCCUUGUAGCGCCCCAUAAUUGGCCUUCCUCACCCCGAACACCUUUCUUGUGUGGGGAGAAAAGUAAGGUGAUAGCCUGGCCCAUUUUAGAGGGUUACUCAGUUUUCCUGGGUUUCUCCCAUGUUUACAGAAGGUGUACAUGUUAUCGAACUGUUUUUCUCCUGUUAAUCUUUUAUUACAGGGAUGGGAUCCCACUCAACAAUCUAGAAAAGAAGAGGGGAAAUUAUUUUUCCUCCCCUACAGUUUGGUGACUCAUCAUGGACUUGCUGAAACAGCAUACACCCCCUGGAGCCUGCAGACAGGAUCCUGGAAAACUGGCAGAAGCUGGCAAACGGUGUAACUGAACCAACUUGAGUUUGUUCCCUGGCCAGUCAAGAUAAACAGUAUACCCGGUUGGGUUGGUGGACAAAGUAAAAUUUGCAGCAAAAAAAGGAGUUCAACGGGCAUAACCUCCAAAGCUAUGACUCCCUGCAAGUGGGGAUGAUUACAGAGGAAGAUGAUGCUUCAUUGGAAACUCUACUACACCCUGUGAGUAUCAGAUUCUAGUUGUGUUGUCUGAAGUUUCAUUAUUUACCUGUAAAUGGACUUCAUCCUGAAUUCUUCUAGUUUCCUUGCAUAAUCUUGCUAGAGACCUCCUCAAAGUAACAUUCCCAAUUUUACUCUCUUUUGACUUGGAGUCACUGAAAACAAACUGCAUGAAAUUCCUGGAAAUUUGAUUUGAUACGUCGUGCUGUAGUGUUAUCACUUAUAAUUCUAGUUACCUUAAAAUGUAGGUCACAGAAGUAACCAGAUGUCCUUGUCAGCUGCAUUAUCGUGAACUCUCAUCAGAUCUUUAAUAUUGGCCAUUUUGUAAGUCUUUUGUCAAUUAUAGAAGUUAUUUCAGAACGUUCUGCAAAAGUGUGGAGCCCAGCCCUGCAAACUGAAUGUGAAUGACUUGCUACAAACGCCACAGAAAUGCCCCAGCAGCCCACGUUUACAGUCUUCGUGCCUGUUACCUUGUGGGCCAAAGCUGACCUCAACACCUGACGACAGAGACGUUCGCUCUGCAGAAGAUCCUUCGACCCCAACGUGUAGAGCUCUUCUGACCGGCUGCCCUCAGGACAGAGAUUCAGUGCAUGAUUUGCUCCAACCACUACCCUCCCCUCCCCCCCCGAAAUGCUCAUUAAAUCCUUGCUUGCACGGCAGAGGCCUAACCGGGCUUCCACCUGCCCCUCCAGCUCCUGAAACGAGCCAACCUGACCUGUUCGCAAGACCGACACUGGUUCCAUGGAACUACGGAACAAUCUGUCAAUCCACUCAGCUUCUGGACUGUGAAGUCAGCUCUGCAGAGCCCACUGUGGAGCUUGAAGUCCUACCCUGACAUCAAAGCCACAUGCCCCACCAACUGAGCCAGCCAGGCACGCCUGCUCUCAAGGAUUUCUAAGAGUAAAGAAAUAAAAACUUCCCUUUAUAGAGGGCAGCGGUCAAAGACAUGAAAGCCUUGCACACCCGCUCCAGAGGAAUAAGUCUGUCUCCCCGCAACUCCUGCAUACCUGGGCCCAUUCUUCUAUACAGCACAUUCUUUGCAGUUAAGAUCUGGAAUUCAUUACCUGACAGGCUACACUUGGAAGAGCAAGAUAGUGUAACCUCAAGAACAGAACCUAACGCCAGA